rnacentral:lncRNA from 1 species
GGUAAACUACGUGAAGCGUUCCUCUUUUGACUUCGUAACUCAUUCGGAAUUUUCCUCAUUAGCUUUGCAAAUUUGAAAAACUCUUUGCAAAUCCCUUGAGGGAAUUUGCAAUGUUCCUAUCGGCUGUUGCAAUUUUCCAAACUUCAUUUAAAAUUUUCCUAACUUCCUGUUUUAAUUUCUUAAUUUCCUGUUCUGAGCGUUGUUAUUGGUCGAUUAUUUUUGUUAGCCAAUUACAACGCCCAGAGCAGAACAGGAAGUUAGGAACAUGUAACAGGAAGUUAAGAACUUCUAACAGGAACUGAGGAAAAUUUUUUGGCUUUUAGCAACAUUGCAAAUUCCCUCAAGCGAUUUGCAAGGGAGUUUUUUAAAUUGCAAAAGUAAUGAGGAAAAUUGCAAUCAAUUUAGAAACUCAAAAGAG